CAAUAGGAUAGGUUUGUCCAAGGGUGGCCGGUUUACUCCAUAUGAAAGGGGUGAUGCCGGUGACAGUAUACGAAUCGCUGACGCUAAUGAUCACAUUCGCGGGAUUCGUUGUCACAAUACUGUCUUUUACAAAUAAAAAAUAAUCCACCCUUAAGUGCAAGCCUGGGUGGAUUAAGCGCCUUCAAUGCCGGCCCCUUCUGGGAACCGCCUAUUGUAGACCGAACAUGGUACCAGCAUGUUCG
rnacentral:sRNA from 1 species